rnacentral:rRNA from 1 species
UGGUGGAUUGAUUUGUCUGGUUUAUUCCGAUAACGAACGAGACUCCAACCUACUAACUAGUGGCUGGAUCUUUUGUCCAGAUCACUUCUUAGAGGGACAAGCGGUGUAUAGCCGCAUGAAAAGGAGCAAUAACA